rnacentral:rRNA from 1 species
UACGUAGGGGGCGAGCGUUGUCCGGAAUCAUUGGGCGUAAAGCGCGUGUAGGCGGUUCGGUAAGUCCGCUGUGAAAGUCGGGGGCUCAACCCUCGGAUGCCGGUGGAUACUGUCGGGCUUGAGUACGGAAGAGGCGAGUGGAAUUCCUGGUGUAGCGGUGAAAUGCGCAGAUAUCAGGAGGAACACCAAUUGCGAAGGCAGCUCGCUGGGACGUUACUGACACUAAGGCGCGAAAGCGUGGGGAGCGAACAGG